GCCGAAGUGACGGAAUGUGCAUAUGUACGCGACUUAAAAUCGCGGUUUUGCGGGUUCGAUCCCCGCUCUCGGCACCA
rnacentral:tRNA from 1 species